CUGUUCUCAUACGUGGUGUUAUUGUCUGUAUUGGUGAAUAAUGACAGGUCCAUCAGGUGCUCUCCGUAAUAAAGGGGCCUUCCUGUUCUCAUACGUGGUGUUAUUGUCUGUAUUGGUGAAUAAUGACAGGUCCAUCAGGUGCUCUCCGUAAUAAAGGGGCCUUCCUGUUCUUAUACGUGGUGUUAUUGUCUGUAUUGGUGAAUAAUGACAGGUCCAUCAGGUCCCUCAUGACACACAUUUGAAACGUGGAAAUGUACAGUGUAAUUUGAAAGUAAGUUGUUACCCAGAGAUGACUGAUUAACUGGCAAAACACAUGCUAUUAAAAACAGUUGAAAUACUAAGCAUAACAUAAAGCCUCCUACAACAGCUAUUGUGGAUUGUAGAUCUGAAAACAUGAAAUCGGUUUACAUGCCAAACAGCUUGGUGCCCCUGAUAGUUGUGUCACUGAGACGCCACAAUCUUCACAAUAAAUCUAAAACACUUCUUUCAAUAGCUUCGAAUAAUUUGGCAUCUUGGAACUGAGGCGAGGAGGAAUGAGGGUGGGAGGACUAGAGUCAACAGAACUGAGGAGGGGAGGACUAGAGUCAACAGAACUGAGGAGGGGAGGACUAGAGUCAACAGAACUGAGGAGGGGAGGACUAGAGGGAGGACUAGAGUCAACAGAACUGAGGAGGGGAGGACUAGAGUCAACAGAACUGAGGAG
ensembl:lncRNA